AGUGAUCGAUCGGAACCUCUCCAUUUGGCGAAGAUAGGGCGGCGCACCGGUACCGUUCGGUUCGUCUUGACGACGCCGACGUGCCUCUUGUCACGGAUAGUCCAUGCAAGGAGCGAAGAGAGAAAAUCGAGGCUCGAAAGUUUCUAACUUUCUGGCGGUUCCGCAGCAUUUUCCGGCGAUCGUUUGUCGUGCAUGAGGUACGAAGUGUGACCUGCUCUUCGAGCUCUACAUGUUCGUAUAAUUAGUUUUCGAUUUUGGUUGGGUAUUGGCGGAUUGAUGAUUUGUGUUUUUCGGUGUCAUCGGACUUCGUCGGAGUUCACUGUUCACGGCGGCUUUCUUGUGUUUUUGGGUUCAUUCCCGACAAAAAUUCUCGUCCUAGAACUGGAAUUGGAGCUCGGUUAUGUUCAAUUCAUGGAAUGGUUUGGUUGGAGAGCUCGUUGGCGUUCGCUGCUGGGAAUUCCAGUAAAUAACAAGAGGAAUGAGCAAAGGAAGGGUUUUUCCCAGCUAAUGUGUUCUUCGUCAAAGGAGUGAACCCCAAUACCCCAUAUGUUUUAGUCUUGUUUGGAGUCGAGUUCAUGAGUGGAAGGCCGCAAGAAGGGACUUUGUGGAGCUGGACCAAACUUGGGUGUGGAACUCUAGAAUGAGAGUGGUUACUAUGAUUUUCACCAAAGGUAGAGAGUCUUGGUGGCUGUAAUCAAGUUAUUGGAAGUACAGCGUGCUUUUGGACUUGUUGACGUUGCAAUUUGGGCUGGUGGUGAAUUAUAAGGGGCUCCAAUUACCCGAAAUGUGAAACGUGGUGGUGUUGGCCUAGGAAAGCGAAUGCGUUCAGAGCUGCAAUAUUCCAGUUUGUGGAUGCAGGUACUGUGUAUGAAGACGAGAUAGCUGGACGACGCUGGGUGUGGCUUAGUUACAUUAUAUUUCAAAUUAUGUCAUUGACGGAGUUAGAUCUGCAUGACAGGUUUUCUUGUUUCUUUUACUCCCUCACAAUUUGUUUAUCGAGUUUGUAAUUGUUCGUAAAGUACCGGCCCUCUUGUAAAUUUUUCGGAUGGUGAUCUUG